rnacentral:rRNA from 1 species
AACACGUAUGUACCUACCUUAUCAGGGGGAUAGCCUCUCGAAAGAGAGAUAAUACCGCAUAACAUUAUUGAACAGCAUUGUUUAAUAAUCAAAUAUUUAUAGGGAUAAGAUGGGCAUGCGGGACAUUAGCUAGUUGGCGGGGUAACGGCCCACCAAGACCACGAUGUCUAGGGGAUCUGAGAGGAUGACCCCCCACACUGGUACUGAGACACGGACCAGACUCCUACGGGAGGCAGCAGUAAGGAAUAUUGGUCAAUGGGCGCAAGCCUGAACCAGCCAUGCCGCGUGCAGGAAGACGGCCCUACGGGUUGUAAACUGCUUUUGCAGGGGAAUAAACCUCAUUACGUGUAAUGAGCUGAAUGUACUCUGAGAAUAAGGAUCGGCUAACUCCGUGCCAGCAGCCGCGGUAAUACGGAGGAUCCAAGCGUUAUCCGGAUUUAUUGGGUUUAAAGGGUGCGUAGGCGGCUUAUUAAGUCAGGGGUGAAAGACGGUGGCUCAACCAUCGCAGUGCCCUUGAUACUGAAGGGCUUGAAUACACUAGAGGUAGGCGGAAUGUGACAAGUAGCGGUGAAAUGCAUAGAUAUGUCACAGAACACCAAUUGCGAAGGCAGCUUACUAUGGUGUGAUUGACGCUGAGGCACGAAAGCGUGGGGAUCAAACAGGAUUAGAUACCCUGGUAGUCCACGCCCUAAACGAUGAACA